rnacentral:rRNA from 1 species
GCAUAUCAAUAAGCGGAGGAAAAAGAAAACCAACAGGGAUUGCCCUAGUAACGGCGAGUGAAGCGGCAACAGCUCAAAUUUGAAAUCUGGCUUUCGGGCCCGAGUUGUAAUUUGUAGAGGAUACUUUUGAUGCGGUGCCUUCCGAGUUCCCUGGAACGGGACGCCAUAGAGGGUGAGAGCCCCGUCUGGUUGGAUGCCAAAUCUCUGUAAAGUUCCUUCGACGAGUCGAGUAGUUUGGGAAUGCUGCUCUAAAUGGGAGGUAUAUGUCUUCUAAAGCUAAAUAUUGGCCAGAGACCGAUAGCGCACAAGUAGAGUGAUCGAAAGAUGAAAAGCACUUUGAAAAGAGAGUUAAAAAGUACGUGAAAUUGUUGAAAGGGAAGCGUUUAUGACCAGACUUGGACUUGGUUAAUCAUCUGGGGUUCUCCCCAGUGCACUUUUCCAGUUCAGGCCAGCAUCAGUUUUCGCCGGGGGAUAAAGGCUUCGGGAAUGUAGCUCUCUUCGGGGAGUGUUAUAGCCCGUUGUGUAAUACCCUGGUGGAGACUGAGGUUCGCGCUUCUGCAAGGAUGCUGGCGUAAUGGUCAUCAACGACCCGUCUUGAAACACGGACCAAGGAGUCGUCUUCGUAUGCGAGUGUUCGGGUGUCAAACCCCUACGCGUAAUGAAAGUGAACGCAGGUGAGAGCUUCGGCGCAUCAUCGACCGAUCCUGAUGUUCUCGGAUGGAUUUGAGUAAGAGCAUACGGGGCCGGACCCGAAAGAAGGUGAACUAUGCCUGUAUAGGGUGAAGCCAGAGGAAACUCUGGUGGAGGCUCGCAGCGGUUUCUGACGUGCAAAUCGAUCGUCAAAUAUGGGGCAUGGGGGCGAAAGACUAAUCGAAAUCUUCUAGUAGCUGGUUUACCGCCGAAG